rnacentral:rRNA from 1 species
UACGAAGGGGGCUAGCGUUGCUCGGAAUCACUGGGCGUAAAGCGCACGUAGGCGGAUUGCUAAGUCAGGGGUGAAAUCCUGGAGCUCAACUCCAGAACUGCCUUUGAUACUGGCGACCUUGAGUCCGGGAGAGGUGAGUGGAACUGCGAGUGUAGAGGUGAAAUUCGUAGAUAUCUGGAGGAACACCGGUGGCGAAGGCGGCGUUCUGGACUGUAACUGACACUGAUGAACGAAAGCCAGGGGAGCAAACGGG